rnacentral:rRNA from 1 species
AGCGAACGCUGGCGGCAGGCCUAACACAUGCAAGUCGAACGAACUCUUCGGAGUUAGUGGCGGACGGGUGAGUAACACGUGGAACGUGCCUUUAGGUUCGGAAUAACUCAGGGAAACUUGUGCUAAUACCGAAUGUGCCCUUCGGGGAAAGAUUUAUCGCCUUUAGAGCGGCCCGCGUCUGAUUAGCUAGUUGGUGAGGUAAAGGCUCACCAAGGCGACGAUCAGUAGCUGGUCUGAGAGGAUGAUCAGCCACAUUGGGACUGAGACACGGCCCAAACUCCUACGGGAGGCAGCAGUGGGGAAUCUUGCGCAAUGGGCGAAAGCCUGACGCAGCCAUGCCGCGUGAAUGAUGAAGGUCUUAGGAUUGUAAAAUCUUUCACCGGGGACGAUAAUGACGGUACCCGGAGAAGAAGCCCCGGCUAACUUCGUGCCAGCAGCCGCGGUAAU